rnacentral:rRNA from 1 species
CGCCCACCCUCUAGCCCCCGCCCGCAUCUAAAUUUUCACUAUCAGCAAAUUCAAAUGCACAUCAGACAUAAACUAAAGCAUUCUCUUGACCAAGUAAAGGAGAUAGAAACGUAUCAAGGAGCAAUAG